AACGAACGCUGGCGGCAUGCCUAACACAUGCAAGUCGAACGAUACCUUCGGGUCUAGUGGCGCACGGGUGCGUAACGCGUGGGAACCUGCCCUUAGGUUCGGAAUAACUCCCCGAAAGGGGUGCUAAUACCGGAUAAUGUCUUCGGACCAAAGAUUUAUCGCCUUUGGAUGGGCCCGCGUUGGAUUAGCUAGUUGGUAGGGUAAAAGCCUACCAAGGCGACGAUCCAUAGCUGGUCUGAGAGGAUGAUCAGCCACACUGGGACUGAGACACGGCCCAGACUCCUACGGGAGGCAGCAGUGGGGAAUAUUGGACAAUGGGCGAAAGACUGAUCCAGCAAUGCCGCGUGAGUGAUGAAGGACUUAGGGUUGUAAAGCUCUUUUAACCGGGAUGAUAAUGACAGUACCGGGAGAAUAAGCGCCGGCUAACUCCGUG
rnacentral:rRNA from 1 species